UGCCCCAUGGCUGAGUUGGUUACAGCGUCCGACUGUUACAUUGGUUGUCUAUCGGAAGGUCGUGAGUUCGAGCCUCACUGGGGCAG